CAGAGAAUUUUUCCUAAGUACAAUGUGGUGGAGGCAAAGGUAGCUCCCGGGCAUGUAGCAACCUCCAAAUUAGCCAAAAUUCUCUGUUACCUAGCCUAGAGGGAUCCAAGUUUAGGAUCCACAAAGAAAAAACCUCUCUUGGAGGAAGCCAAAUCUUUUUUCUAGAAGCAUGCCGAGGUGAGAAGGCAAGGGUAGCUACCAGGCAUACAGUUCCGUCUAAACUUGUCCAAAGUUGUGGUGUCCCUGCCCUGAAGGGCUUUGCAGCUGGUCCCCAGAGCUAAAUGUGUCUCAGGCAGAAUCCCCAACAUUUGCAGAAGCUUCCCUGGAGGAGGCAAUGGUAGCUAGCAGGCAUGCAGCUCCCUCCAAAGUAGAGCCAAAAUUGUGAGGGACUUAAGGCGGAGGGGUCUUCCGGUGGUAUUGACAAGCAGUUCUGUAUUGGGAGCUAGGUUGAAAGUUUUUCAAAUCCUGAUCAGCGAAGGGAAGUGAAGGUACCCAGGCAGGAACCUCCCUCCAAAAUUGGCCAAAGUUCUUUUGUACCAAGCCUGAAGGGGUCUGCGGACCGAAUCCACAAGUCCCUCUCUCUCCGGAAGAGGCCCCAAAAUUUCACCAAGUAUGCCUGGGAGGAGGAACGGGUAGCUACUGGGCAUGCACGUACUUCCCAAUUUGGCCAAAGUUCAGGUAGAUACCCCAUACGGGUAUGCUGCUUUUCCAGAACUUGUGCAGGUGACAGAGAAUUUUUCCUAAGUACAAUGUGGUGGAGGCAAAGGUAGCUCCCGGGCAUGUAGCAACCUCCAAAUUAGCCAAAAUUCUCUGUUACCUAGCCUAGAGGGAUCCAAGUUUAGGAUCCACAAAGAAAAAACCUCUCUUGGAGGAAGCCAAAUCUUUUUUCUAGAAGCAUGCCGAGGUGAGAAGGCAAGGGUAGCUACCAGGCAUACACUUCCGUCUAAACUUGUCCAAAGUUGUGGUGUCCCUGCCCUGAAGGGCUUUGCAGCUGGUCCCCAGAGCUAAAUGUGUCUCAGGCAGAAUCCCCAACAUUUGCAGAAGCUUCCCUGGAGGAGGCAAUGGUAGCUAGCAGGCAUGCAGCUCCCUCCAAAGUAGAGCCAAAAUUGUGAGGGACUUAACGCAGAGGGGUCUUCAGGUGGUGUUGACAAGCAGUUCUGUAUUGGGAGCUAGCCCAAAAGUUUUUCAAAUCCUGAUCAGCGAAGGGAAGUGAAGGUACCCAGGCAGGAACCUCCCUCCAAAAUUGGCCAAAGUUCUUGGGUACCAAGCCUGAAGGGGUCUGCGGACCGAAUCCACAAGUCCCUCUCUCUCCGGAAGAGGCCCCAAAAUUUCACCAAGUAUGCCUGGGAGGAGGAACGGGUAGCUACUGGGCAUGCACGUACUUCCCAAUUUGGCCAAAGUUCAGGUAGAUACCCCAUACGGGUAUGCUGCUUUUAUCCAGAACUUGUGCAGGUGACAGAGAAUUUUUCCUAAGUACAAUGUGGUGGAGGCAAAGGUAGCUCCCGGGCAUGUAGCAACCUCCAAAUUAGCCAAAAUUCUCUGUUACCUAGCCUAGAGGGAUCCGAGUUUAGGAUCCACAAAGAAAAAACCUCUCUUGGAGGAAGCCAAAUCUUUUUUCUAGAAGCAUGCCGAGGUGAGAAGGCAAGGGUAGCUACCAGGCAUACAGUUCCAUCUAAACUUGUCCAAAGUUGUGGUGUCCCUGCCCUGAAGGGCUUUGCAGCUGGUCCCCAGAGCUAAAUGUGUCUCAGGCAGAAUCCCCAACAUUUGCAGAAGCUUCCCUGGAGGAGGCAAUGGUAGCUAGCAGGCAUGCAGCUCCCUCCAAAAUAGAGCCAAAAUUGUGAGGGACUUAAGGCGGAGCGGUCUUCAGCUCGUAUUGACAAGCAGUUCUGUAUUGGGAGCUAGCCCAAACGUUUUUCAAAUCCUGAUCAGCGAAGGGAAGUGAAGGUACCCAGGCAGGAACCUCCCUCCAAAAUUGGCCAAAGUUCUUGGGUACCAAGCCUGAAGGGGUCUGCGGACCGAAUCCACAAGUCCCUCUCUCUCCGGAAGAGGCCCCAAAAUUUCACCAAGUAUGCCUGGGAGGAGGAACGGGUAGCUACUGGGCAUGCACGUACUUCCCAAUUUGGCCAAAGUUCAGGUAGAUACCCCAUACGGGUAUGCUGCUUUUCCAGAACUUGUGCAGGUGACAGAGAAUUUUUCCUAAGUACAAUGUGGUGGAGGCAAAGGUAGCUCCCGGGCAUGUAGCAACCUCCAAAUUAGCCAAAAUUCUCUGUUACCUAGCCUAGAGGGAUCCGAGUUUAGAAUCCACAAAGAAAAACUCUCUCUUGGAGGAAGCCAAAUCUUUUUUCUAGAAGCAUGCCGAGGUGAGAAGGCAAGGGUAGCUACCAGGCAUACAGUUCCGUCUAAACUUGGCCAAAGUUGUGGUGUCCCUGCCCUGAAGGGCUUUGCAGCUGGUCCCCAGAGCUAAAUGUGUCUCAGGCAGAAUCCCCAACAUUUGCAGAAGCUUCCCUGGAGGAGGCAAUGGUAGCUAGCAGGCAUGCAGCUCCCUCCAAAGUAGAGCCAAAAUUGUGAGGGUCUUAACGCAGAGGGGUCUUCAUGUGUUGUUGACAAGCAGUUCCGUAUUGGGAGCUAGGUCAAAAGUUUUUCAAAUCCUGAUCAGCGAAGGGAAGUGAAGGUACCCAGGCAGGAACCUCCCUCCAAAAUUGGCCAAAGUUCUUUUGUACCAAGCCUGAAGGGGUCUGCGGACCGAAUCCACAAGUCCCUCUCUCUCCGGAAGAGGCCCCAAAAUUUCACCAAGUAUGCCUGGGAGGAGGAACGGGUAGCUACUGGGCAUGCACGUACUUCCCAAUUUGGCCAAAGUUCAGGUAGAUACCCCAUACGGGUAUGCUGCUUUUCCAGAACUUGUGCAGGUGACAGAGAAUUUUUCCUAAGUACAAUGUGGUGGAGGCAAAGGUAGCUCCCGGGCAUGUAGCAACCUCCAAAUUAGCCAAAAUUCUCUGUUACCUAGCCUAGAGGGAUCCAAGUUUAGGAUCCACAAAGAAAAAACCUCUCUUGGAGGAAGCCAAAUCUUUUUUCUAGAAGCAUGCCGAGGUGAGAAGGCAAGGGUAGCUACCAGGCAUACACUUCCGUCUAAACUUGUCCAAAGUUGUGGUGUCCCUGCCCUGAAGGGCUUUGCAGCUGGUCCCCAGAGCUAAAUGUGUCUCAGGCAGAAUCCCCAACAUUUGCAGAAGCUUCCCUGGAGGAGGCAAUGGUAGCUAGCAGGCAUGCAGCUCCCUCCAAAGUAGAGCCAAAAUUGUGAGGGACUUAACGCAGAGGGGUCUUCAGGUGGUGUUGACAAGCAGUUCUGUAUUGGGAGCUAGCCCAAAAGUUUUUCAAAUCCUGAUCAGCGAAGGGAAGUGAAGGUACCCAGGCAGGAACCUCCCUCCAAAAUUGGCCAAAGUUCUUGGGUACCAAGCCUGAAGGGGUCUGCGGACCGAAUCCACAAGUCCCUCUCUCUCCGGAAGAGGCCCCAAAAUUUCACCAAGUAUGCCUGGGAGGAGGAACGGGUAGCUACUGGGCAUGCACGUACUUCCCAAUUUGGCCAAAGUUCAGGUAGAUACCCCAUACGGGUAUGCUGCUUUUCCAGAACUUGUGCAGGUGACAGAGAAUUUUUCCUAAGUACAAUGUGGUGGAGGCAAAGGUAGCUCCCGGGCAUGUAGCAACCUCCAAAUUAGCCAAAAUUCUCUGUUACCUAGCCUAGAGGGAUCCGAGUUUAGGAUCCACAAAGAAAAAACCUCUCUUGGAGGAAGCCAAAUCUUUUUUCUAGAAGCAUGCCGAGGUGAGAAGGCAAGGGUAGCUACCAGGCAUACAGUUCCGUCUAAACUUGUCCAAAGUUGUGGUGUCCCUGCCCUGAAGGGCUUUGCAGCUGGUCCCCAGAGCUAAAUGUGUCUCAGGCAGAAUCCCCAACAUUUGCAGAAGCUUCCCUGGAGGAGGCAAUGGUAGCUAGCAGGC